UACGUAGGGUGCGAGCGUUAAUCGGAAUUACUGGGCGUAAAGUGUGCGCAGGCGGCUUCGCAAGUCGAGUGUGAAAUCCCCGAGCUUAACUUGGGAAUUGCGCUCGAAACUACGGAGCUGGAGUGUGGCAGAGGAAGGUGGAAUUCCACGUGUAGCGGUGAAAUGCGUAGAGAUGUGGAGGAACACCGAUGGCGAAGGCGGCCUUCUGGGCCAACACUGACGCUCAUGCACGAAAGCGUGGGGAGCAAACAGG
rnacentral:rRNA from 1 species